CAGGUUACAACAAUAUGUUCAUCCUUUGGGAGUUUGACCAGAAAUCAUCUUAAGAAACGUAUAUUCUUAAUGGUCAUUUCGGACCUUAUCAAAAUUUGCGAAGGACCAAGUUUGAUUGUAUGCGCCAAGUUGAAUUAUUUUCUUUGACUGUAUUUUGGUUAGUGAAUUGCGUUUAUUGGUCCAUUUUUAUCUUGGAUGGUAUGCUGUAGUGACUGGACGGGAUUUGCCGUUCCAUGCUUAGGAAUGCUUGAUUCAGGAGGACGAGGAAAAUUAGAUUAUCAACACGCUAGUUAUUUGUUAAUUCAAUAUUUUUCUGUUUUUCUAAUAUGAUAACUUCGUUAUUUUCAUUGUCCGUUAACUUUGUAUGACUGUAUGGCAACCGCUCUCACCAGUCUCUAUGACUAAUUUCAAAUGGUUUAUGGUAGCUUUAUGUUCAUAAUUGCACCAAUGUAGCUAAAAACGCAUUUAAUCCUUUCUUAUCUGGAACUUGAAUUAUCAAACUUGCCAGACUGUCCAAACAGCUUUCUUCAAUCUUUUUAUCCUUUAUAAUCUUCAAGACUUGAAGUUCAAGUUUCACUUGUGGGCAUGUGUAAGGUUUAGAUUUUUUUUAUUAGGAUUUCAUUUGAAAUAAACAAAGACAUUUCUUGUUUACUACAAUUUUGUUCAUCAUACGCAUCAAAACAAUCAAUCAUCUCGACUCUUUUUCAAGUUUAUUAAUUAUCUACCAGAUCUUUGUUUAAACUAAUUGGUUCUACUUUAUUUCUGUUGAAAGUUUAUUCCUCUAUAUUAAAUCAAAACUGAAAGAAUGGCCUCCAUACUGAAAGAUUAUUCCGACUCUAAUGAAUUGAGAAUGUUCAGAGGAAAUUUUUACGAGUGCCAAAAAAAUGGAACCUUGACGCCUCAGGUCCAAUUUGAAUAUGCUGUGUGCCUAAUCAGAAGUAGGAAUCGACCUGAGAUCAAAGAAGGAAUCACUUUGAUGGAAGAAUUGUAUAAAAACAAACUUGGUGGUGAACUACAUUGUUACCUUUUGUACCUUGCCGCAGGUUAUGCAAAGGUUGGUGAAUAUCGGUCAGCCUUGGUUCAUAUUAAAAAGUUUCUUUCAUCACAACCUAAUAAUAUACAAGGCAAGGAGUUGAAGAAAAAAAUUAUGAGCCAGCUUAAGGAUGAUGGCAUGAAAGCAGCCGCGGUUGGCGGAACAGCAGCUUUAGUCAUUGGAGGUCUUGUUGGACUUGGUAUGGCUUUGAUGAAAAAAUAACUUCAUCUUGUCACAUGAACCAAUCUCUGAACUUUGUACUUUUUAUAAUCUCAUUUUUCACCGAAGGUUCACUGUAAACUUUCAUUAAUUCAUUCUUAUAAUAACAGAUUGACUGAACACCUUUGACCAAA